rnacentral:rRNA from 1 species
UACGUAGGGUGCGAGCGUUGUCCGGAAUUAUUGGGCGUAAAGAGCUCGUAGGCGGUUUGUUGCGUCUAUCGUGAAAACCUGCGGCUUAACUGUGGGCUUGCGGUGGAUACGGGCAGACUUGAGUUCGGUAGGGGAGACUGGAAUUCCUGGUGUAGCGGUGAAAUGCGCAGAUAUCAGGAGGAACACCAAUGGCGAAGGGCAGCUCGCUGGGACGGUACUGACGCUGAGACGCGAAAGCGUGGGGAGCAAACAGG